GAUGAACGCUGGCGGCGUGCUUAACACAUGCAAGUCGAACGAUGAAGCCCAGCUUGCUGGGUGGAUUAGUGGCGAACGGGUGAGUAACACGUGAGUAACCUGCCCUUGACUCUGGGAUAAGCCUGGGAAACUGGGUCUAAUACUGGAUGUGACUUCUCAUCGCAUGGUGGGGGGUGGAAAGAUUUAUUGGUCUUGGAUGGACUCGCGGCCUAUCAGCUUGUUGGUGAGGUAAUGGCUCACCAAGGCGACGACGGGUAGCCGGCCUGAGAGGGUGACCGGCCACACUGGGACUGAGACACGGCCCAGACUCCUACGGGAGGCAGCAGUGGGGAAUAUUGCACAAUGGGCGCAAGCCUGAUGCAGCGACGCCGCGUGAGGGAUGACGGCCUUCGGGUUGUAAACCUCUUUCAGUAGGGAAGAAGCGAGAGUGACGGUACCUGCAGAAGAAGCGCCGGCUAACUACGUG
rnacentral:rRNA from 1 species